rnacentral:rRNA from 1 species
UACCACCCUUUAAUGGCUGGUGUUCUAACGUGGGCCCGUGAUCCGGGUUGCGGACAGUGUCUGGUGGGUAGUUUGACUGGGGCGGUCUCCUCCUAAAGAGUAACGGAGGAGCACGAAGGUCAGCUAAUCCUGGUCGGACAUCAGGAGGUUAGUGCAAUGGCAUAAGCUGGCUUGACUGCGAGCGUGACGGCGCGAGCAGGUGCGAAAGCAGGUCAUAGUGAUCCGGUGGUUCUGAAUGGAAGGGCCAUCGCUCAACGGAUAAAAGGUACUCCGGGGAUAACAGGCUGAUACCGCCCAAGAGUUCAUAUCGACGGCGGUGUUUGGCACCUCGAUGUCGGCUCAUCACAUCCUGGGGCUGAAGUAGGUCCCAAGGGUAUGGCUGUUCGCCAUUUAAAGUGGUACGCGAGCUGGGUUUAGAACGUCGUGAGACAGUUCGGUCCCUAUCUGCCGUGGGCGCUGGAGAAUUGAGGGGGGCUGCUCCUAGUACGAGAGGACCGGAGUGGACGCAUCACUGGUGUUCGGGUUGUCAUGCCAAUGGCAUUGCCCGGUAGCUAAAUGCGGAAGAGAUAAGUGCUGAAAGCAUCUAAGCACGAAACUUGCC